UAAAAAGCAAAAUUAUCGGAAGAUAAUGACGCAAAGCUAGAGGGUCUCAAUCACGAUGUGACAGACAGCCAGUUGCCGAA
rnacentral:ncRNA from 1 species